UCUCUGCAAUUAGUCGUGAAGUUGAAGGAGCUCCAAACUCCGCAGGCGCACUCAGGGCCUCCUGCUCCUAUGGCUGGUUUUCAGGACCCUUCGCUCACAGAAUAUGCCCUCAUAUGAGUCAUUUGGGAUAUUGGGACCAUUCUCAGUUCAUUUCUCUAUGAGGCCGAGAUGUCUUCCCUGCUAACCGCAGGAUGGAGGAGGUGGCCACAGCCCAUCUCAACUCGAUCCCUGCGGGAAUGAAGGCCUCAGGAUGCAGGAGACAUGGCUCUGAGCCAGGCUGAGGGCCAGAAGGUCAAACUCCGAACCAAGGCUGGCUUCACUGUGCCCCUGUCCAUCACUCUGGGCCUCAGUUUCCCCAAAGCAAGCCCAUUAGAUAAGAUGGUCUCUAAAGACUAUAAACCCCACAUGGAGAAGGACCCUGUCUGCCUUCUCCACUGGGAUUUCCAUUCCCCCGCACCUGCCGCCAUGGCUGGCACAGAGCAGGCUGGCUUCCUGACUGACUGAAUGCUGGUGCACUGGGGCCUGCCUCGCCGAUAAAACCCCGGCCCAGGGAUUGGUGGAACUGCCCAUGUCAGAUCGCUGCUCCAGCCUGCACUGCCUCUGAUGACAUCAUCUGGAACUGCUCAUUCCACCCAGCAUUCCGCAGAAGCCAGGCCCAGCAACAGGCUCAUUUAGGAUGCGCUCAAGGGACAGAAGCGUCCAAGUCACUUACUCUUCCUCCUCGUCUCUCCCUCUCUUACCCAAGGACCACCUUCUCAGCAGGGGGAUGGGCCAUAGAGAGAAACAGGGGCAAAGUGGGGGGUCUAGAGGAUUAUUCAUGGGUACCAUCUGCCUGUGCGCUCCCAGGCCCUUCCCCAUACAAGGGCUGUCUCUAGGUGUCGGUUUCACAUGGGAAUUACCUGAUUGGAAUCUGGAGUCAGACCAGGCCUGAGUUCAGAUCCAGUCCUAUUACUUACUGGAGUAAGUAAUUACUUUGAGCCUCAGUUUCUUCAGCUGUAAAAUGGGGAUGAUGAUGAUAAUCUCACCUCCCUCACAGAGUUACUGGGCACUGUUUUUAUUUAUGAAAGCCUGCUUCAUUUGUCUGCCUGGCUGUUUUCCCCCACCAGUCCCAGGGCGCCGUGCCCUUUCCAGGGAGCACGCACUGAGGCCCAGAAACAGCCCGUGGGGUGCAGCAAGAGGCUGCUAUGGGGAGCCCAGGCCUCCUGCAAGAGGGCCCCAGGCCUCAGAAGCGGCAGGCCUGAUGCGGGUUGUAUCAAGUCAAUGCUCCGGCAGCAGCUACAUGUUCUGGCGUUUACCACGAGCCAGCUGCAGUUGUGAGUAGGUGCCGUGUGACGACUCAUCUAAUGCUCAGGGCAGUCCUGAGGGUAGGUGCUAUCUGCACCCUUCUUGGAAAGAUGAAGAAACUCCUCACCUGUAAGAUGAGAGUGAAGCGAGCAGCUCAAGGCCAUGCAGCUGCCAGGCAGAGGAGCUAUGGUCUGAACCCGCCUAAUCUGGCUCCUGGGCCACAUGCCACCACUGUGCCACACUGUCCUUUGCCGCCACAGCCGUCCUCACUCCACCCCUCCCCUGUAGAUUCUUCCCAGACCUGUUGCUCAUUCCCUCUGCUCUCCUACCUUGUCUCAUCUCUUCCCAUCUGUUUCUCUCUCUCUCUCAAUCUCCCCUCUUUCCUUCCUUCCCCCCUCUCUUACUCUCUCCCAUCUUUCCUUCUCUGUUCCUCUACCUCAGGUAACUGUGCCACCUCAGAUAGGGAGGGGGGCAGAAGUAGGGGGCCCUGGGUCACUCUGAAGAGCCCUGAGACCCCCGUGGGGAGAGCCCCAUAUUACCCAAGUGCAACAGGGAGACCUGUUACAACAAGAGGUGUGGCCUGGGAACUGCCUCUAUCCCUUAGCACCUUCAGACUCCGAAAGACAGAACUGCACUUGCCAGAACCGUAGGAAACCACAGGUCCCAAUGGGGUUCCCCACUCUCACAGAGCAGACUCGGGAGGUAAGAGUGUAAAUCAAGCCCCAGGCAGGAGUCCCUGGACCAGUUCCUCUCCGGAAUCUAGUUGUAUCCCCAGAUAAGGCAGGGGACUGAAGGAAUAGAGACCCCAAUCCUGUGCCACAGGCAGCCAAAGGGCUCCUGAGCCCCUCAGGGGCUCAUGCUUUUCCUGCAGAGGCCACAAGGUCUGCAAAACCCAAUGCCAAGGGGAUAGUCUGGAGAAAGGGCUGUUGGAUUGGGCUCAGAGCAUGUAAGCUCAGAGAAGAGGGGUCCAGGCAGCACCCACUGGAAACCUUGGGUAGGUGUGCAGCCUGGGGCUCAAGAGGGGAAGAAGCUGGUGUUUGGAGGAAGCCAGCAGCACAGAGGAUUUUCACCACAUUUCAUAAAGGGGAAGGAUGGUGCCCUAGAAUAAAAACCACUUUGGAGAGUCCAAAAUAUUUGAAUCCAAGUCUGUUUUCCUUCACUGGAAAUAGGCUUUACAAGCUAAUCUCUGAGCUGCAGGUUUCCUUUUUCCCUUAAACCUGCCCUUGACGCACCCCCCCCCCCAACUCUUUCUCUUCCUGCUAUGGAAGUUCCAUAGUAAAGCGUCUUUCGCCUCUGCCCUGCGCCCUGAUGGAUGUCCUGAGCAGCAACUGCGUUCCCCUUCCUGGGUCUGGCCCUGCCACUGGAGAGGGAGGGUCCUCAGACAAGCCCCAGCAAGGGAGGUCCCUUGCUCCAUGAAGUAAGCAGAGGUAGUGAAAAGGAGAAAGCACAGGGCGGAAGUGUGACGUGAAACUUAUGUGAGCACUGGGCCCAGACCAGAGGGGAGAGGUGCUGAGUGCUGGAGACCACGGGGGCCUCAGGGAGAGCAGGCAGGAGCACAGAGGUGCUGCUAAGUUGGGGGAUAAUUGCUGGGUGACAAAUAUGGCACCAAUGAGGAGGGAGCUCAAGAACAAUCUACUCUGUAGGUUCCAAGAGUCUGAGAGAUCUGGGAUACCCUUCAACCUCAUGUCUAGGGGGCAAGAGACUCCCACGCUUGUUGAGACAAGGCAGUAUGAAAGUCUGCCCCAGGGGCAGGGAUGAGGUUUGUUCAUAAGAUUCUGAUUAAUUAGCACUCUUUAGCUAUGUGUGUGUGUGUGUGUGUGAUCUGAUUGUCUUCUCAUGAUCAACCAGGCUUGACCAAUUAUUUUUGUGGACAACUGAUCUUCAUAUCAGCCCAUCUUUAGUUGUUGAGUUUUAGGCAAAAUCAUAGUUGUAGAGGUAAUGUAGAGUUGCAGCACAAAGCAUCUUUUCUGAAUCUACCCUCACUUGGUGGCAGCAUCCCUAGAUGGGUGGUGCUGGGAAGCACUCUGUGCCAGAUGUAGUUAGUCUGGCUGUGACGAUCACGGACAGCUUUAAGGGAGACAGCAAUUGUCUUCACGCAGAGAUGAGACUUCCUAGGCAGGAAUUUCACGUGGGUUCUCCCCUGGAUCCUGUGUAUCUCAGGAUGUGGCGCAGUUUCUGGGACCAGGCCCAGAAGAGAGGACCCAGGUGAGAUUUCAUGAUUGGCCGUGCAGCAGUGUCAAGAUUGGAAUCAAA